rnacentral:lncRNA from 1 species
GGGCAGACACACUGAAGUCGCUAGACGUCUGAGGAACACAUCCGGGGAAGAAGACACAGGUGGCUGGUCAUCGAGAGCCCGCUGGGGGAAGAGCACACAGACAGGCACCGGCAGGCCAUUGACCAGCGGGACAAGGUGGGCUCAAUGUCAUCACAAGGGUGCUUAAGAGGGAAAGAGGAAGCCAUGAGGGUCAGAGUCAAAGGAAGACUUGAAGAUACUACACUGCGGACUUUACAGAUGAAGGAAGGGGCGAAAACCAAGAAUGUGGGAAGCCUCUAGAAGCUAGAGAAGGCAAGGAAACAAAUUUUCCACUAGAGCCUCCAGAAGGAACACAGCCCUGCUGACCCACUGUAAUGUCUGACCUCUAGAUGUGUAAGGGUAGUAAGACUGAAAGUCUCAGAAAGGCACUGUUACAUUCUUAUUCCACAACUAUGCAACUCGAAACUGGGGUCCUCAGCAGUGAGCGAGGGGUGAGAGAAGACACUGUAUAAACAUGGCACAUCCUCCUGGAAAGUCAACUUUACUCAAAGGUUCUUACACACAGUGACAGCUAGCAGAGUCUAAAAUGCUGACAUUAUGACUUAGAGAUGUGAUAAAGAGAAACAUCUACUGCAUUUUCUGUCUGGUUCCAGUGUCGUCUAUGGUGUGAUUCAUCUCCCAAUACCCCUGGGUGCAAUAAAACUGGUCCCUUCUUUGUACCCCGUAGCUCUUUGUUCCUCUCCUGGUACGUGAUGGCUGUUUGAGCAUCUUUUCACCCCUCCACACCAGGAACUCCUCAGUGAGUUCUUGAGAUUUAUGACCUAUUCACCUUUCCAGAAAAUUUGAUUCCUGUCUUCAAGGAGUUUCCAGUCUGGGCAAGGAAGCAGACAUAUAAACAUGGAAUUACGUUGCAAUUUGGAAAGUGAUGUAAAACAAUUAUCUAAAUUAGUGUACACAGAUGAGCACUAAUUUACUAAAGAAUCCUGCUUUUCUCAUAUAACAACUGAGCAGUCGGCAUGUAGGUGUAGUCUGUUUCUUAAAAUAGCAAUGUUUUCCCAGUCUUCAUAUCAAUAUUUAUGUUGUUACUCAUGCUCUGUUAAAACAAAACAAAAUAAAACAAAAUCUCUCAAA